CAGUUUUGCCAAGAACUAUUUUGUUAUGCAUGUGGCCGGGAAAACACCCAACUUUAAUGUUCUGGCGGAUUGACUGGCCUGGACGAUUUCUCCUGUGUUUGUGUCACGCUGUCAUCACGAGAGCCUGGCAUAUGAGGUCAUCAUCGGACAAGUCCUACCCUUGCCCAGCUGCGAUCUGACUGUGAUUGCUCACUUGACGUUUUAUCCACCAUCCAGAAAUUAGUCGGUAGACUGCAUGAGUUCAACAACGUACAAGCAGACUACGCGCGUCGAGACCCGCACAAGCUCUCAGCCCCAAACCCGAACGACCGUCGUCCGUUCCUCCCGUCACUCGUCCGGCAUGGCUAACUGCGGCUGGCUCUGGAGUAUCGUCUGGGCACUGAUCCUGCUGGUGCUGGGCUGGCCCAUCGGCAUCCUGUGCGGCAUACUCUACGCCAUCUUCUGCGCCUUUGUGCCGUGCUGCGGCGGCUGCGCCGACUUGGCCAACUUCUUGCACCGGGGGCUGGAGCUGCCGAAGACCUGCGCCGAAAACAUGGUGGCUCAGCGGUCGGGCUGUUAGGUAGAGGAUGCAUCGGGAACAGCAUAGCAGCUGCACGAGCAGGUUCAGAGCAUUGACCUCCGGUAGUUCCAACAAUCUUCCUACACAUGUAGCUCACCCCUUCUGGAAAAGCAAUGAGUCAACACACAUUGCCAGCACGCACUCUUGUUUUUAGCGACAAGGGAAAUACACUCAAAAGUUUGGAGCUUUGAUAAACUGAUUCAUCUUCUUCCUACAGCAGGAUUUAUUAAAUUCAAUUUUUUUCUUUUCAUAAAAGACACAGAAGUGCCCGAAAGACUGGCAACCCGUAAGGCCAUUUAUUAUGCAGUUUCCCAGAAAGUCAUGAAAAUUUUCAUUUUGCAAGGGCGUACUAGUUACACAAACAAACCUUCAGUAUUUGAAUUCCAUAAAGAAAAAGAACAACAUUCUGCACAAAGUGGACUCUGUCCAAUUUUAAACCUUGAACGAGAUAGCACAUGAUCAUUUGCACUCACAGAGGACCUCAAAUAAUGGGAGAAGAAUUUUGCCAGCUCUUAAAAGUCUCAUUCAGAUUAACCCCUGGAGCUCGGCACUAUAGCUGGCACAAUGCUUUCACCAUAGAGUACCGAAGUGUGACGUCAUUUAGAACCAGAAAGUGUAGUGCAAAUGAAUGGAGUACGCACGCGUGUUGGUUCACGGGCUGAAUCACACGCUGAUGUCUUUUACACACACAUUGUGCGCGUGAUGUACUCACUUCGGUACUCUAUAACUGGAGAUUCCGUGUCAUGAGUGUACAGUUAUUUGGUAUCACAACUCUUAUAAGUUAGGAACCUGUCUCGGCCAAUUUCAUGGAGAUGCUUAGCAGAAAGUACGACUUUAGCACGAGAUUGUGCUAAGCAAAAAAUAAAACAGAUGGGGACCAGUCAACAGCAAUAGAAACUGCAUACCAUCAUGGCUGGUUACCUGUUUUUGUUAAGCAAAUAUUUUCCGUGCUUACCACAUUUAUGUGCUGAGUAUAAACUCCAUGAAACUGGCCUCGGCUGUAAUGCUGCUUACAGUAUCCACAAGCGCAGUCUUUAGCGUUUAUCAGUUUUUUUCAUCUUAGAUUUUAAUUAGUCGUAGAAAGUCCAUGUAUAAACUUUGAAGAUGUUGCCGUCUUUUUUUUAACAAAGCAUGAAAGGGUGAUUGUGUACUUAGACAAGUAAAUUUGUGUAUUUUACCUUCAGAAUUUGAAAUCUGUUUAUAAAUAAUAUAAACUUUGGUGCAGGAUUGGGCCCGUUUUCUCCGGUGGGGAGGGCUUGCUUUCACACUUUUCCAAGUGAGUUAUUAUUUUGCUUUUAUGUUUGUUUUGAUGGUAAGGGACACAUAGACACAACUGAAAUUGCUCUUUGGUAAGAA
rnacentral:lncRNA from 1 species